rnacentral:lncRNA from 1 species
GCAUCAUCAUGAGAAUGUUGAUUGAUUCAAAUAAACCGACGUACAGAAUGCUUCCUUUGAGGUAGAUGAAUCUCUGAUCUACAGUGUAGAGACACUGAGCGACGAGUGUGGAUAGUUGUUAGAGAAUAACUAGUGCUGAACGUGACCAUACGAGAGAUCACAUGGAUUUCUAUUUGAUCGUCAGUGAUUAUCUUGAUGU